UGCAGGAUAAGCUAAGACAAGCUGUUGGGCUCAUAACCCAAAAAUGAACCACAGGUUCUCCUACAA
rnacentral:tRNA from 1 species